UAAGCGGUGAUGAGCAGCUAAAUGUAAGAAAAAUUCAUGUAGGAAGGGGGAUUUUCAAUGAAAUUACUCUUACGCUUGGCUUCUGAGCUUU